ACACCAAAAAUAUUCAAAAAUCGAAAAAGUCGAAAACACUUGAAAUCAGGAAUUACUGCUGAUAAAUGUCUCAAAAACUCAUAAAUAGAGUAACUAAUUAUUAUUACUUGUGUCUGACCAUCAACCAGGUAACAACCCUUAACACCGAGGCAUACCAACACAACUCUAAGGUGACAGAUCCCUCUCUCAAACUUAUUAACAUAACUCUAAAACUUAUCAGAGUUGCUCGAAGGCAACUCUACAACAUAUGAAACUACCAAUUAGACUCUCACAACUCUAAACUUCUCAAGACUAGUCAAUAAAAACUUUAAAC
rnacentral:lncRNA from 1 species